UACGAAGGGGGCUAGCGUUGCUCGGAAUUACUGGGCGUAAAGGGCGCGUAGGCGGGUCGUUAAGUUAGAGGUGAAAGCCCAGGGCUCAACCCUGGAAUUGCCUUUGAUACUGGCGGCCUUGAGUAUGGCAGAGGUGUGUGGAACUCCGAGUGUAGAGGUGAAAUUCGUAGAUAUUCGGAAGAACACCAGUGGCGAAGGCGACACACUGGGCCAUUACUGACGCUGAGGCGCGAAAGCGUGGGGAGCAAACAGG
rnacentral:rRNA from 1 species